UACGUAGGGUGCGAGCGUUAAUCGGAAUUACUGGGCGUAAAGUGUGCGCAGGCGGCCGAGCAAGUCGAGUGUGAGAGCCCCGAGCUUAACUUGGGAAUUGCGCUCGAAACUACUUGGCUGGAGUGUGGCAGAGGAAGGUGGAAUUCCAGGUGUAGCGGUGAAAUGCGUAGAGAUCUGGAGGAACACCGAUGGCGAAGGCAGCCUUCUGGGCCAACACUGACGCUCAUGCACGAAAGCGUGGGGAGCAAACAGG
rnacentral:rRNA from 1 species